AACGAACGCUGGCGGCAUGCCUAACACAUGCAAGUCGAACGAACCCUUCGGGGUUAGUGGCGCACGGGUGCGUAACGCGUGGGAAUCUGCCCUUUGCUUCGGAAUAACAGUUAGAAAUGACUGCUAAUACCGGAUGAUGUCUUCGGACCAAAGAUUUAUCGGCAAAAGGAUGAGCCCGCGUAGGAUUAGGUAGUUGGUGGGGUAAAAGGCCUACCAAGCCGACGAUCCUUAGCUGGUCUGAGAGGAUGAUCAGCCACACUGGGACUGAGACACGGCCCAGACUCCUACGGGAGGCAGCAGUGGGGAAUAUUGGACAAUGGGCGAAAGCCUGAUCCAGCAAUGCCGCGUGAGUGAUGAAGGCCUUAGGGUUGUAAAGCUCUUUUACCAGGGAUGAUAAUGACAGUACCUGGAGAAUAAGCUCCGGCUAACUCCGUGCCAGCAGCCGC
rnacentral:rRNA from 1 species